CUGACCUCGAUCAGGUAGAUACAAUA
rnacentral:rRNA from 1 species